rnacentral:lncRNA from 1 species
CCAUGGACGCCGAGGACUGUGAGGACUACACCGACGUCUUCUUCAUCAAGUUCGCGCAGGUCAGCGACGCGAGGUGACCAAUGCACGCAUAUAUCCAUCUACCUUGUUCGUUGCUGUGAAUGCGGUUGAGUGGUUUUCUACACUAGUUCCUUAUGUUGCAUGUGAAUAUGGUGAGUAGAUAGAACUGGAGUGAGCAGAUCAGUAUAUGACUAAGAAAAAUCAGGGAGUACGUGUAGAAAAUUAUCAUAGCACUAAACCACUUUGCAAAAAUAACAUGUAUUACUAGCAAUUGUGCCUAGCAUUGCCUGUUUGAGAGCUUGUUGUCGGUUACUUGGUACUGCUUUCAGCGAUAUGGGUUGUUUGUUGGUAGUUAUACUUUUUUUGUUUGUACUGAUCGAUGCAUAUCUUUGUAGUUAGCAUAAAAAAUUCUCCUGCUAUAGUUCUCUUUGGUCGCACAAGCACUUAGAGUUAGCUGAUGAAACUUGUACAUUAUUGUCUUUAUAAAUUCAGUUUAGUGCUAAUAUCUUUGUGUACGGACCAUCGAAAAUUAUGUUUCCUUCCAAUUUGUUGUGUAUUGUAUUGACGAGUUAUGUUUACAGGUAAUUUCUAAAUUCAAAGAUCAACUAUCUGCACCUCUAAUUCAGUCAAAUGGUUUAUGUUUGUUUCUUUUUUCUUCAGUAGUAGCGUACGGGCACCUUUAAUUAGGGCGAAUUCUGUUCUCAUGCUCGCUUUGUCCCUUCCGUGCCAGCUCCAGAUGACUGAUUGAAUUUUAGACUUAAGUACUAGUGAGUCCCACCGAAGCAGAUCGUUGUUUUUAUGUGUCGUCCGUGGAUUAUACACACUGCUUGCCUAUUAUGUUUUGUUUUUCUUGCCAUUGCAAAAUUUCCAUCAGGACCAGCUACACACUUCCCUGGCCUGCUGUGCUACGCCUGCGGCUCAACCCGUCAUUUGCAGCAGCAAUAGCAGCAGCAGCUAGGUACAGCAGUAGUAGGCAGGCGGACGGCAGCGGCAUCCGUUGCCGGCACGCAUUGUGCACGUAGGCAGUCAGCAUCCAUCACAUUAUGUUUCAUUUGCACCUUAUAUACAACAUCCUACCAACGAACGAAUUCCUUUUUUCAUUCUUGGAUGCAAGUAGUCUGGCCAAUAAAAAAUAGCCUUGCAAGCAACCAGGUGUGUCGUGUUCUGUGCGUGUGUAUAGAAUUUUUUUAUUUUGUUGACUGUUUCAACACUUGGAUUAUUUAUUAAUAUAACCCAGCAGGGACGCUUUCAUUUUAACACAUGUACUAAUGUGCUAAAACUUGCAAAAGACACAAAUCCUGAGCUUUCUUUAUCGGCUUGCCGUUGCUGCUCCUUGUGUACAAUGAUUGGUGUUGCUCUAUUUAGUGUUGUAGAGGAAGAAACAGGAUAUAUUUAUAUUACUUACUUCUGCUGCUUAUAUAUAGACAUGUACGUAUGUUUACUUCAUUUCUUCCUUGUCUCUCCAAGCCCCUCCUAAUGAAUUUGUUUGUUCGAUUGGGAUUAGCAGGCUCAUCCCUAGACCAGAUGUUCAACUGCAGCCUCAUCCAUCGCAUCGACCCAAAUUCAGGUAUGUACUCGUCCUGUUGAACAAAUAUGGGACAGAUGCUUAAUGGCCUAAUCGUUGAUGCAUGUAUCAUGUUUGUUCAUUGGAAAAUAUGUAAAUCAUGGCUGGCCUGAUGCUUCAUGGCGUCAUGUUUGUUCAUUCAGAUGUAUUAAUUAAUUUUGUACAUGUUGGAGAAUUUGGACGACAAUAACAAACUCUAAUCAUGAAUAGUUGUAUAGAAACUUGAACAACUGUCUUGUUUAAUUUGAUGAUGUUCCUUCAUUCUAAGAGCUAAUAUGCUGCACUAUUAUUUAGUUUUCAUCAUCGGUUUUAAUUUUGCUGAAAUUAUAUUUCCUUUUGUAUGCUUAUAGUCUAUUAGUUAUCAUUCUAGCUCUAAAUGUUGUUUGGAUGCAAACCUGGGUUUAUACUUUUUGCUUGUCGUCAUCAACCAUCAGUUGGGCUGUCUACUUAAUGUAUUUGUUGUCCGAUUUGCUCCAUCAUAUUUCCUGAUGUACUUCUACAUAUAUAUGUUGGUUGUAAUCUGCUGGAACAAUGCAAGUACUUGAUAUUCCGUUCUGUUCUUGUAGGUGAAUGGAACGUCCAUUGGUAGAACAUCGUUGAUGACUUCUUUCCAUGUCGAAGAGCAUGUUCCAUGGUAUCCAAGAGUAGUCAUCUUUUACACUUGCAGAGCGUUUUAUUUGUAGAUUGCAAUAUUUUUUAUUGUGUGGAAUAUUGUUUGGUUAUCCGGGUGAAGUUUGAAGUUCCUGGGUAUGCAAGAUUUGUUGGUUAAACUGGCUAUUGUAAUGUGAAUGAGUGUAUGUAGUUUCAGUGUUUUGUUCUGUUCUCACUAGAAUAUUGUAAUAAACUAGAAUGUGAAUGAGGCUAU